GACGAACGCUGGCGGCGUGCUUAACACAUGCAAGUCGAACGGAAAGGCCCUGCUUUUGUGGGGUGCUCGAGUGGCGAACGGGUGAGUAACACGUGAGUAACCUGCCCUUGACUUUGGGAUAACUUCAGGAAACUGGGGCUAAUACCGGAUAGGAGCUCCUGCUGCAUGGUGGGGGUUGGAAAGUUUCGGCGGUUGGGGAUGGACUCGCGGCUUAUCAGCUUGUUGGUGGGGUAGUGGCUUACCAAGGCUUUGACGGGUAGCCGGCCUGAGAGGGUGACCGGCCACAUUGGGACUGAGAUACGGCCCAGACUCCUACGGGAGGCAGCAGUGGGGAAUAUUGCACAAUGGGCGGAAGCCUGAUGCAGCAACGCCGCGUGCGGGAUGACGGCCUUCGGGUUGUAAACCGCUUUCGCCUGUGACGAAGCGUGAGUGACGGUAAUGGGUAAAGAAGCACCGGCUAACUACGUGCCAGCAGCCGCGGUGAUACGUAGGGUGCGAGCGUUGUCCGGAUUUAUUGGGCGUAAAGGGCUCGUAGGUGGUUGAUCGCGUCGGAAGUGUAAUCUUGGGGCUUAACCCUGAGCGUGCUUUCGAUACGGGUUGACUUGAGGAAGGUAGGGGAGAAUGGAAUUCCUGGUGGAGCGGUGGAAUGCGCAGAUAUCAGAGGGAACACCAGUGGCGAAAGGCGGUUCUCUGGGCCUUUCCUGACGCUGAGGAGCGAAAGCGUGGGGAGCGAACAGGCUUAGAUACCCUGGUAGUCCACGCUGUAAACGGUGGGUACUAGGUGUGGGGUCCAUUCCACGGGUUCCGUGCCGUAGCUAACGCUUUAAGUACCCCGCCUGGGGAGUACGGCCGCAAGGCUAAAACUCAAAGGAAUUGACGGGGCCCCGCACAAGCGGCGGAGCAUGCGGAUUAAUUCGAUGCAACGCGUAGAACCUUACCUGGGUUUGACAUGGAUCGGGAGUGCUCAGAGAUGGGUGUGCCUCUUUUGGGGUCGGUUCACAGGUGGUGCAUGGCUGUCGUCAGCUCGUGUCGUGAGAUGUUGGGUUAAGUCCCGCAACGAGCGCAACCCUUGUUCACUGUUGCCAGCACGUUAUGGUGGGGACUCAGUGGAGACCGCCGGGGUCAACUCGGAGGAAGGUGGGGAUGACGUCAAGUCAUCAUGCCCCUUAUGUCCAGGGCUUCACGCAUGCUACAAUGGCUGGUACAGAGAGUGGCGAGCCUGUGAGGGUGAGCGAAUCUCGGAAAGCCGGUCUCAGUUCGGAUUGGGGUCUGCAACUCGACCUCAUGAAGUCGGAGUCGCUAGUAAUCGCAGAUCAGCAACGCUGCGGUGAAUACGUUCCCGGG
rnacentral:rRNA from 1 species